rnacentral:rRNA from 1 species
GACGAACGCUGGCGGCGUGCUUAACACAUGCAAGUCGAACGAUGAAGUUCCUUCGGGAAUGGAUUAGUGGCGAACGGGUGGGGAACACGUGAGAAACCUGCCUUUCAUUUUGGGAUAACUCCGGGAAACCGCGGCUAAAACCGAAUACUCCGUCUCGGCGGCAUCGCUGCGCCGGGAAAAAAUUUUGAUGAAAGAUGGUCUCGCGGCCUAUCAGCCAGUUGGUGAGGUAAUGGCUCACCAAGGCAACGACGGGUAGCCGGCCUGAGAGGGCGACCGGCCACACUGGGACUGAGACACGGCCCAGACUCCUACGGGAGGCAGCAGUGGGGAAUAUUGGGCAAUGGGCGCAAGCCUGACCCAGCGACGCCGCGUGAGGGAUGAAGGCCUUCGGGUUGUAAACCUCUUUCAGUAGGGAAGAAGCGAAAGUGACGGUACCUAAAGAAGAAGCACCGGCUAACUAUGUGCCAGCAGCCGCAGUAA